CCUUCUCUGUCUCUCCUUCCCUCCAUGGAGUAUCAAUCUAGUGAUCUCCUACUCAAUUCGUAAAGACAGGCUCUCCUCUCAAGAUGUCUAACCCGGAAGUCAGUCUUAACCUGAACGGAAAAACGCCCAUGUGACAGAGGAUUCCACUAGCUGGCAUAUCCACCUGAGUCAAGAGUCAGUGGGGUCAGGAGUGUCUCGAUCCCACAAUUUCCCUUUCCACUCUUCAUGGCUGUCACACCCUGAAGCUCAUCACUGGCAUUGUGAAGUCAUGUGGCAUUUUCUUGGGUGUUGUGUACGACGGGUCAGGAGACACUCCCUGGAGCAGCCAGCCACGGGACGCCCCAGGGCACCAGGGCAAACCGGAUUCUUUGGCACUGCUCUGAACAACAGCUUCUGCAUCUCAGUGUGGAAUGACCUCAGGUUUCAAGAUCACAGGGCCAUCUCCUCCCUGUCCCCAGCUCCUUCCUCUCUCAGAAUAAACUUGUUCUAAGUCAA